GACUCCUUCAUUACGCAGAAGGCUGGGGAACACUUUCUCUGUUCUAGAUAUUAAUAAAAUACAGCUUUUGUGGUCCCAAUAGGAGAUAAAAUGAUAGAGGUCUGCGAUUAGCACCAAGGUAGGGAUGAGGGAGUGAUGUAAACGCUGCCUGGCCGGCAGCUUGCCGAGGAGAUCAGUUUCUGACUGACAAUAGCAGGAGUUCAGAUUCAGGAGGUUCAUAGAAGAUAGUGUGGAGGAUGCUGGUAGCUCUAGGAUCAAGAACUGCCACGGGCCAGUUACGAGGCGAUUACCUGGGAAACCCGGAAGGCCCUCGUGGAGGAUUCUGGGGAGCCGACGUUGCGGCUCCUGAAGCGCAUGCGCCAGGAUUCCCGCCCCCGACACAGCAGCGGUGCCAUCCUGACUAUGCUGCGUGUAGAUCCUUAUCUUGGGUUUCCAGCCUGGGUGGCCGGAGGCGCUGUUCCAGCAGCGUGUUUGUUCUGCAGUUGUGUGUUAUUACUUCAGUGCAUCGCCCAGAGGAAACUCAGGCAAAGUCCAUAACUUACUAUACUGUAGUACGAUCACCAAAAGGAGCGUCUCAUGCCUGGAGAACCCCUACUCAACAGCCAAGGUAAAGAAUGCACAGGCAAGUGAGGCUGGUUGUAUCAAGGCCUGAUGAUACAUGACAAAGUAAGACAGAAAAUAUUACUGCUAUUCUUCUUAUCAUCC
rnacentral:lncRNA from 1 species